rnacentral:rRNA from 1 species
GACGAACGCUGGCGGCGUGCUUAACACAUGCAAGUCGUACGGUAAGGCCCUUUCGGGGGUACACGAGUGGCGAACGGGUGAGUAACACGUGAGUAACCUGCCCACAACUUUGGGAUAAGGCUAGGAAACUGGUGCUAAUACUGGAUAUGUGCUCCUGCUGCAUGGGGGGGGUUGGAAAGCUCCGGCGGUUGUGGAUGGACUCGCGGCCUAUCAGCUUGUUGGUGGGGUAGUGGCCUACCAAGGCGGCGACGGGUAGCCGGCCUGAGAGGGUGACCGGCCACAUUGGGACUGAGAUACGGCCCAGACUCCUACGGGAGGCAGCAGUGGGGAAUAUUGCACAAUGGGCGCAAGCCUGAUGCAGCAACGCCGCGUGCGGGAUGACGGCCUUCGGGUUGUAAACCGCUUUCAGCAGGGACGAAGCUUUUUGUGACGGUACCUGCAGAAGAAGCACCGGCUAACUACGUG